rnacentral:tRNA from 1 species
CCCUGGUAAUUCAGAUGGUAAAAAGUCUGCCUGCAAUGCAGGAGACCCUGGUUAGAUCCCUGGGCCAGGAA